UACGGAGGAUGCAAGCGUUAUCCGGAAUGAUUGGGCGUAAAGCGUCCGCAGGUGGCUAUGUAAGUCUGCUGUUAAAGAGUCUAGCUCAACUAGAUAAGAGCAGUGGAAACUACAUGGCUAGAGUGCGUUCGGGGCAGAGGGAAUUCCUGGUGGUAGCGGUGAAAUGCGUAGAGAUCAGGAAGAACACCGGUGGCGAAAGCACUCUGCUGGGCCGACACUGACACUGGAGAGACGAAAAGCUAGGGGAGCGAAUGGG
rnacentral:rRNA from 1 species